UACGUAGGGUGCAAGCGUUAUCCGGAAUUAUUGGGCGUAAAGAGCUCGUAGGCGGUUUGUCGCGUCUGCUGUGAAAACUGGAGGCUCAACCUCCAGCCUGCAGUGGGUACGGGCAAACUAGAGUGCGGUAGGGGAGAUUGGAAUUCCUGGUGUAGCGGUGGAAUGCGCAGAUAUCAGGAGGAACACCGAUGGCGAAGGCAGAUCUCUGGGCAGUAACUGACGCUGAGGAGCGAAAGCAUGGGGAGCGAACAGG
rnacentral:rRNA from 1 species